GAACUCUGUCUCGCUGUCCCAGGUCUGGCUAGAAGGAACAUCGCUCUCGGAGUCAUUCUUUACCAUGAUGAUGGGCGUAGGGACAUAACUUGCAUUCGGAGGUAGGGUGUAUCCUGGUUUGGGCGAUGGGGCACGUUGUGUAUUCGGAGGUGGGGGGUAUCCUGGUUUGGGCGGUGAGGCACGUUGUGUAUUCGGAGGUGGGGCGUAUCCUGGAUUGGGCGAUGCGGCACGCUUUGGAGGUGGGUUAGGUCGCGGCUUGGGAAGUGAGACGGGGGGCGGCUUGGAGGCUGGCACAGUCGACGGAGGUUGGUUUAGGACCUCGGCGGAUCUAGACAAUUGCCUGGUCAGGGGUCGGAGGAGAUUGGAUGCGGCGGGCCUGGCAGUGUUCAUUUCCUGGAGGUUGUCUUGAGAGCGGGUUAUUGACUGUGGCUGCACUGUCAAGUUGGAGGGGGACAGAAGGAUGGGACUGUUGUGCCCGUGGUGGCCUCUUCCCACAUGGCCGUAGCUUGGGGGCUUCAGAUACAUACUGGGGAUGUAGCCAGCCUUGCCUUGGUAUCUGUGGAAAGCCAAAGAUUGAGUUAAAAUCUUGAAAGAUCGAACAAAGUCCCUCCACUGUCAGAAAUAACCAUUGUGGGUGCAGGUGUGUUCCCAAGACAUGAAAGUCUCGUGUCUGGUGUCUAAAAGCAGUGCUAUCCCAAUGACAAGCCAUUUUAUCCCUCGUCUCAUUGAAGGUAGAAUCAAUUUGCACCAAUGUAUGGACCUGGUAUUUCGUAAGCAAUUUUUAGACCCUGAGGCAUAAGUGUCAAAGUCAAGGCCCUGGGGCCAGAUCCGGCCCGCCACAUCAUUUUAUGUGUCCCACGGUGUCAUGUGCAUCAUUUUUCAUGAUCCUUGCUGAAAUCUAUACCAGAAUGUAAAAUUGUCAUGGGUAAUAAAUAACGUUGAGAUUUUACAUCGGCCCUCCGAGGGAAGCCGUAACUCCCAAGUGGCCCGCGACAAAAAAUGAGUUUGACACGCUCGCCUCUAAGGUAUCGCAAUUCAUGCCCCAGUGGGAUAGGGGUACGUUUCCAAGUCCUAGAAGUCUUGUGUCAGGUGUACAAAAGCAGGACCUUUGAGGGUAGCACCCCACUGAAUGUCUGCACUUUGUCAGUGCCAUGAGGCGUAACUAAGUUACAGGUAGCAUGAUAACCUUAAACCCUAAUUGUGUCCUGUUCUAACCCUAACAUCCCAGUCCUCUAAUAAAGAAAGGGGCACCUUAUAAGGACCAAAAGAGACGGCAAAGUUUAAAAGUCUCAAAAGCAAUUUUGUCUUUGAGUACAGUGACAGACGCCAGCCCUCGUGUCAAUGGUUCCAAGAGCACUCCAAUCACGGUGCUAUCCAUUCGUACAACGGAGGAAAACUUGUAACGCUCUUGAUAUUCUCAAUCAGAGAGGUCGAAUACCUGAUGAGCCACCAGCCGUUUUCCGACUUCUGCAGGACUUCCACCGAGGCACCGAUGCUCACUGUUAUUUCAUCGUCUUUAGUGGAUUUGUAGCUCUUGGUUACGGUGUAAAACAACCCUAAUGGCGACAGAGAGUCAAACUAAGUGAUGUAUUCAACACAUUUGAGAAAAAGAGCUAAAUGUCUCCAGUGGUUGGUGGUGGUUCUGUAUUUUUACCUCUUUCGGGAAGUCCAUCAAUAUUGUCCUCUUCCGGUUCAUCGUCCGUCCUCUCCAGGUACGGAGCAGGAAACCAGGCCAAGCACUUGUCGUCAUUCUCCACGAGCCACCAGCCUGAAACCAGCCAACGGAGGCUAAACAUCAGAACUGGGUACUAUUCCGUUUUUGGUCCGAAGUUGACAAAGCUGCUUUGCUCACCCGCUUUGUCCUUGAUGAGCACGUCGACUUUUUCAUUCAAGGCCACUUUGAACGGCUUGUUCUUGGUGUCUUUAGUCUCGUAGGGGGCCACGCACCUGUAAGUCUCCGUGCUGAAGGGCUGGGUCACAUUGCCACCCUGGCUGUAAAUUAGUUCUUGUUGGGCUUGGGUUUCGGGGGGCAUGAUUAUGACACUGAGGGAGGGGCGGAAAGGAAAAGUGGAUUUAAAUAUGGUGCAGAACCAGGCCCAAAAACAUGACUGGUAUAAGUUCAGUGAAGACUUGAAAUUGCCUAUAGGAGUGAAUGCUUGUUUGUCGAUAUGUGCCCUGGGCUUGGUUGUCAUCCAGUUCAGUAUGUUCUCCGCCUUUUGGUUCAUAGCCAACUGGCAUUGCAUCGAAAAAAAUAAAUGGACUGCAGGAAACAGGCCUCGGGCAAAGCUGCGCUAAACUUGUCAACUAAGGUGUGUAAGCAUGCCUGUAAUUAUGCACCGUUUCGCCUGACACGCUUUGCGCUCCGUUGAGCGCUUGGAAUUUUGUCAAGCGCUUGAAACGUCGUGUUUUUAGCUGUGCUGGAAAGAGGAAUUGAAUUUGAGUAAAUGUGCUUAUUUUUAGUAGGCGGGAAAAAAACAAGGUUUUAAGUUGAUUACAACUGCACUGCAUUUAGGCAGUGAUUCUUUUGCGUGCUACCAAAUAUUUUUUUUAGCUCUUAAAUUUUUGGGUAAAGAUGUAUAUUUCAUCCCAACAAAUUUGUAUGCGCGUGCAUCUCCCCACAAAAGACACUUUGUACGUUUUUCAAUACGUUUAGAUGCGAAAUGAAUCCAGGGCGGUUGGACAUGAAAGCAGAAUUUGAUUUGGCACGAUUUGAUGCACGUGCGUCUUGUCAAUCAAAAAAACAAAACAAAACAAAAGCGCACCUGGACUUUUAACCUGCAUUGAAUUUGGCAGCAACGGCUCUUCGCAAUCAUUUUGUCUUUCUGAUUGUAUGGCUCAAAAUCUCAAAUGUUAAAAAUGUAGCGUGACUUCUUUUUGCUCAGUGUGCAUUUUUAUGUGUCAAUGCGACAAACUAACAUACCCGUUCUUGGAGUACUCGGCCUGCAGUUCCUCAUUUUUAGGGUGGAGAAACUGGAUGAGGUGCACCGACUGGUUGACCUUCGGAUCGCAGCUCAGCAAUUCAUUGCAGUACCUCUGCAAGGGCUUAAGGUAAUUCAAUGACUUUGAGGUGCCAUUCUUCUGCCCUGCUUUGGCUUUCUUUGUGACUGCAAGCAUACGUGACACUCGGGUUAGGCUCUUAAUUACCUACACCAAUGCUGAGUGAAUGGGAUGAGUAAAUACCUUUAAAUUUAGGCACAAUUCUUUCUGAUUUCUUCAUGCCGGGGAACGCUUUCUUGAUCUGCUUCUGUUCAAACGAGACAACGUGGCACAUUUAGCGACGGAAGCGUGAAACGCGACGACAUCAUGAAAGAGAGGUGUUUUCCACGUACGUGCAUUUUCUUGAAGUCCUCAAUGGUCCUGUAGAUGACAAUCUCUUCCUCGUCUGACCAAAGUACCGAGGUGAUGUACAUCUAGAGGGGGAAAACCGUCGCACGUUACAACUUUUGUUUCCAAAAGAUUCAAAGUCAGACGAGAAAAACAGGUGCCUUACUUUUUUCUUGUCCUUCUCCAUCACCCCGGUUAAACGGAUGCUGAUGGGGUACCUCUGCGACGACAUGACUUAUCCAAAGUCGGACUACGCCCCUGGUCGGCAAAAUAAGGGUGCGUGCACUUCUGCGUGCCGUUCGACAAUGCAACGCAUGGAUGCUCUGUCGUACAUUUAUACACGAGCCACCUGCAAAGGCGUGGCUGCUGACACCACAGUAGCUGCUAUGUCACUUACGGGAAAGUCCGAUAUUUCCUCAACCUUUGCGUCAUGUCACAAAAAGGCCAAUUAAUAAAACAGAGAGAG